rnacentral:rRNA from 1 species
AUUGAACGCUGGCGGCAGGCUUAACACAUGCAAGUCGAGCGGGGUGAUGGUGCUUGCACUAUCACUUAGCGGCGGACGGGUGAGUAAUGCUUAGGAAUCUGCCUAUUAGUGGGGGACAACAUCUCGAAAGGGAUGCUAAUACCGCAUACGUCCUACGGGAGAAAGCAGGGGAUCACUUGUGACCUUGCGCUAAUAGAUGAGCCUAAGUCGGAUUAGCUAGUUGGUGGGGUAAAGGCCUACCAAGGCGACGAUCUGUAGCGGGUCUGAGAGGAUGAUCUGCCACACUGGGGCGGAGACACGGCCCAGACUCCUACGGGAGGCAGCAGUGGGGAAGAUUGGACAAUGGGGGGAACCCUGAUCCAGCCAUGCCGCGUGCGUGAAGAAGGCCUUAUGGUUGUAAAGCACUUUAAGCGAGGAGGAGGCUCUUUUGGUUAAUACCCAAGAUGAGUGGACGUUACUCGCAGAAUAAGCACCGGCUAACUCUGUGCCAGCAGCCGCCGUAA